GGGAAGAGCAGAAAUACGUCAAGCUGUCUGAGCUGACAUUCAAUGCUUUCUUGAAAGAAGUGUGUCUAAAAUUCAACAUACCAGAAAGCAGAAAGCCAGACAUUAAGGUGUAUGACCAGUCUGACACAGAAGUUGACUCAGAUGUUUUUGAAGAAUUAGUAAAGGAGUCACCUGGAACUUUCAGAAUCAUGCUGGGCAAUGGACUUGAUACCUCUCAUUCAUCAUCAUGCUCGGGUACAUCUGAUGACACCAUCAUUCUGAAUUUCACUGUGUGUGACGAUGUUGAAGAAGUAGCGGCUGGCGAAGGAAGCCAGCCUAAAAGGCCAUGCCACAUAAACUAUGAGGCAAAAGCACUGAUUGAAAAAAUCCUAACAUCAAAGCCUGGUGGUGAACGCAUUAUGCAAGAGUAUGGAAAAACCAAAUCUCUGACAGAUGCCACCAGAAGACAGAUGAUCAACAUACUUGCUGCUGAGAUGACAGAAACACAUGGGACAUCCCCCCCCAAAAGUGUCAGAGUGAUGUAUGCACAGGGGAUAGUAGCUUUGUUUCCCUAUCUAGAAGACCCAUACUCACAACAUGGAUAUGAUCAUUACUACGAUCCGGAGAGUGGUUCCGGAUACCUUGCAUGGCGAUUGAAGACCAUACAAAGAAAAA